rnacentral:lncRNA from 1 species
ACCAAAACACCCCGGUUUCUCUAAUUUGUAGGAAUGAAAAUCUUGAAUUGCUUUUGAUGGAUUUCUCACUCAUCAAAAUAUAGCCACCAGCCUACACAUAGAGGUCGAUUAAUCACUUUGGUCAGCAGUUCUGUUUUUCUAUGUUGCGGAAUAGGAAUGUCGUAUGAUCAUUUAUUUCCUCUAUGUCAUUUUAAGUUCUACACCUUAUCUUUUAUUAUGAUAAAUCAUCAAUAUCAUACGUCUGUUACUCUUCCUGAUUCUACAUAUUGUUUUUAGUCAUAGAUUUUAGAGUGUUCUUUUUUCAUUUUCUUGCAAAAGCAGAGGUGUUUAAAAAACUAUAGUUAUUUUACUGCUUUUCGGAUGCUAUCAAAUGCUUAUACUAAAUUUCACAGAUAUGUUCAUGUCUUCCUAUAUUUAUACAAUGUAUGCUGUGUAGCUCAAUGCUCCCUACCUUUGGGAUUAAUCUCUCUUGCAUUCCUUUACUAAUACUAUUAUCUUGUGCUUCUAAAUACUACAAUCUGAUCAAAGCCUUACACCUCUGCAAAAUGGUGAGGUCUUCAUGGCACUAAAAUCUGGUAGUUACCUCCGUUUUCUGCCGUCAACUGUUAAUGAAAGUAGUACGAUGCCUAAUUUUGCCUUCUUUCAAUUUUUCUUCUUAAGGUAACUCUAAACUUAGGUUGAUGCCUUCGGUAACUUUAAUUUUGUGUCCUGAUGCCAUGGCCUAAUUUUUUCUAUUGUACUUGAGCACCCCGUAGCUAAUAUAAUGUGAAUAGUAGUUUAGUUUGCUACUUAUACAACAAUAGAUCCAUUUUUCUAGCUGCCAGAUAGUAUUCUUCCUAUCCCAAAGUGAAAGCAUGGUUUCUCGUGUUAAAACCCCAAGAUAUUGUAUAGUAUCUGAUGACCAUCAUCACAAUAUUAACAAAUGAUCAGUAAUUGUUUUUUUUUUGAGAAAAAGCCCUGCGCUUAUAGAUUAUCAGGGUUUAGGUUACAGUCAUUUGAAGCGAGCUGUCUCAGCACAUAAGGAACAUUAGCGAUCAGUAGACUGUCUCCAUGAGCUCUUGCAUAGGCAGCCAGUUUGUGAGCCAAAACAUUGCUUUCUCGAUUGAUUGCCGAGACUGACACCGAUGCAAAGGAAUCCAUCAUAUCUUUCACAUCCGAAAUGAGUGGGAACAAGGCCGACUUGUUCUAUGGUUCAGAUUGGAGCAGGUUUGAGACCGCAACGCAGUCUGUCUCAAUGCAGAUGGCGCCUCUGUAUACUUUCUGCAGUUCCAACAACCCCACUUGCAUGGUCGUUAACUCUGCCUCAUCAACAUUCUUGCAUGGGAGUACUCGCCUACAAAUUGACAGUGCCACAGCCCCGGUCUAACCUCUGACCACAGCACCCAUGCUGCUAUGCCUUGUUUCAGCACUAAAAGAAGCAUCUGCAUUCACUUUCCAUACGCCAGUCCCGGGUGGCUUCCACUGGUUGGUUUUAAUGUGUUGCAACUCAUGCAAAGGAUCAGCUAUAGCCGACCAGAUACUCUUCCCUCUUUCAUCAUUUUUCUCCCAAUGCCUUCCCUUAAAAUCCUUCCAGUAAAUCUGUAGAAAGGCGACAGAUACAGAAAUCAAAGCCUUUCCUUUUUCAUGGACACAGUCGUUUUCUAAGGAACCAUGCUCGCCACAACAGCAAAAGCACUUUACCCCUAGCUUCUUCAUUGCAAGUAGAGAGAAGGAUCUCUUUUUUGACUGCCCGUUGGCACGAGGGUUGUUGCGCUCUGUUCAAAUUGCCUUUAACAUUACUCCUCCGACUUUGGUCAACACGUUAUUCGGGGUGUGGCUUGCUGGGAUAGAGUCCGAAACAGCUAGACACAUUCGUGUAGGAGUAUGUGCGUUGUUAUGGGCAAUUUGGAAUUGCAGAAAUGAUCUGGCUUUUAACAGAAAAACAACUAUUCAUUUUUUGCAGGUCGUAUUCCGAGCUACUGCACUGAUCCGUAUGUGGUCCUUACUCACUCCGACGGAGGCCAGGGAGCGUUUGGUUACUGGAUCUGUCCGGUGGGAGAUGGUAGCGCGGGAUAUCUUCCACCGGUUUGGAUGGCGGUCAUGUAAUAGGAUAGGCAAUUAGUUUACCUAUCUUUUAUUUUGUCUGCCGGUUGUGGCUUAUUGGGCUUAUUGUGUUGGCUUUGAGGCUCUGUAUGAGCUAGCCUUUGCUUUUGUUUGCAGACUUUGAGACCUUGUUGAACCUUUUAUUAUUUAAUAAAUGUGGCCGUAUGCAUCGUUCUAAUGCAGAGGUCGGGGAGUCCCCCCUUUUCGAAAAAAAAGUAGAGAGAAGGAUUUGUAGCCAAUCUUCACCGGAACUAUGAAAGGACUUCUCAUCUGGUAGCGAUCCAAAUUUUCCUAAUCUCUGCUCUUUAGGCUCUCGCUUUAGUGCAUUCAAUCACAACAUGAAAAUCAUUUUCCUCUGUACAUCCACAAAUGCAGCAGCUUACAUCCUUCUCAAGAGUCAUUUUGAAUUUAUUUAGCUUUGUGGGUAGAGAACAAGUCGCUACUCUCCAGCCGAACAUUUUGAUUCUCUUCGGUAUUUUCACCUUCCAGAUCAUGUCCCAAAUACUCCAUAUGUUUCAGAUUCUUAGAAGGAUGUAAUACUGGUCAGUAAUUGUAACUGCAAACCUCAGUCUCUUAGUUCUGUUUAAUACCGGACCAUAUGUUUCUCUUAAUCACUCUCAUGAUACUUGUGUUUAAUCUGAUCUCUGCCUAUUUCAUGGACCAAGGGAACUUUUUGUUCAUCUUUGUUUGUAGGAUCUAUGGAAGGAGUUCACGACUCGGACUCGACGAGAAAGGUUUGUGCUUCAUCUUUUUUUUAUGGCAAAAUAACUUCUCUUUUUUAAACCAUUAGUACGUCAUAUAUCUAUCACAUUAUAAUAGAGUAAGUCAACAAUAGCCCUUUUAUUUGAAUGAACAAGAAU